rnacentral:rRNA from 1 species
UAAGGGCGCACGGUGGAUGCCUUGGCACUAGAAGCCGAUGAAGGACGUUACUAACGACGAUAUGCUUUGGGGAGCUGUAAGUAAGCUUUGAUCCAGAGAUUUCCGAAUGGGGAAACCCAGCAUGAGUUAUGUCAUGUUAUCGAUAUGUGAAUACAUAGCAUAUCAGAAGGCACACCCGGAGAACUGAAACAUCUUAGUACCCGGAGGAAGAGAAAGAAAAUUCGAUUCCCUUAGUAGCGGCGAGCGAAACGGGAAGAGCCCAAACCAACAAGCUUGCUUGUUGGGGUUGUAGGACACUCUAUACGGAGUUACAAAGGACGACAUUAGACGAAUCAUCUGGAAAGAUGAAUCAAAGAAGGUAAUAAUCCUGUAGUCGAAAAUGUUGUCUCUCUUGAGUGGAUCCUGAGUACGACGGAGCACGUGAAAUUCCGUCGGAAUCUGGGAGGACCAUCUCCUAAGGCUAAAUACUCUCUAGUGACCGAUAGUGAACCAGUACCGUGAGGGAAAGGUGAAAAGCACCCCGGAAGGGGAGUGAAAUAGAACCUGAAACCGUGUGCUUACAAGUAGUCAGAGCCCGUUAAUGGGUGAUGGCGUGCCUUUUGUAGAAUGAACCGGCGAGUUACGAUUUGAUGCAAGGUUAAGCAGUAAAUGUGGAGCCGUAGCGAAAGCGAGUCUGAAUAGGGCGUUUAGUAUUUGGUCGUAGACCCGAAACCAGGUGAUCUACCCUUGGUCAGGUUGAAGUUCAGGUAACACUGAAUGGAGGACCGAACCGACUUACGUUGAAAAGUGAGCGGAUGAACUGAGGGUAGCGGAGAAAUUCCAAUCGAACCUGGAGAUAGCUGGUUCUCUCCGAAAUAGCUUUAGGGCUAGCCUCAAGUGAUGAUUAUUGGAGGUAGAGCACUGUUUGGACGAGGGGCCCCUCUCGGGUUACCGAAUUCAGACAAACUCCGAAUGCCAAUUAAUUUAACUUGGGAGUCAGAACAUGGGUGAUAAGGUCCGUGUUCGAAAGGGAAACAGCCCAGACCACCAGCUAAGGUCCCAAAAUAUAUGUUAAGUGGAAAAGGAUGUGGCGUUGCCCAGACAACUAGGAUGUUGGCUUAGAAGCAGCCAUCAUUUAAAGAGUGCGUAAUAGCUCACUAGUCGAGUGACACUGCGCCGAAAAUGUACCGGGGCUAAACAUAUUACCGAAGCUGUGGAUUGUCCUUUGGACAAUGGUAGGAGAGCGUUCUAAGGGC